UUUAUUAUUUAUCUUUAUAUUAAUUUGUGAUUAUUUUCUUUGUAAUGUCUGUAAACGAAGUUGAUACUGCUCGACAAAGCCGUACUAAUUGCAAAUCAAAAUUAACAAAAUUUAAUACAUUUCUUGAAAAAUGUUCAAUUGACGAAAACGCGGGUACUGUCGAGGAGAUUAAACUACGUUUACAAAAAAUUGAGGAACAUUUUGUAAACAAUGUAACACGUGACAAUAAAGGUAAAUAUAUAGUGAGACUUCCGUUUAAUGAAAAUAAAAAUAAUUUAGGAAAUUCAUAUGAAAUAGCUCGGAAAAGAUUUUUUAUGCUCGAAAGAAAAUUAUCUAAAGACCCUAAAUUAAAACAAAAAUAUACAAAUUUUAUGGAAGAAUACGAACACUUGAAUCAUAUGAAACAAAUAAUUGCGGAUAAAUCGGAAGGAUAUUAUUUACCACACCAAGCUGUUCUGAAGAUGAUAGAUAAUAUUAGUAAGUUUCGAGUAGUUUUUGACGCAUCAUGUCAGACAGAUACUGGUUUGUCGUUAAACGACACCUUGAUGACAGGGCCAACUAUCCAAGAUAACAUAGUAGCAUUAAUGUUGAGAUUUCGACAGCAUGUGAUUGCCUUGAGUGGAGAUAUUGAAAAAAUGUAUCGCCAAUUUUUUAUACAUCCCCAAGAUAGAAAAUUCCAGAAAAUUUUGUGGCGAUAUAAUGAGAAUGAACCUAUCAGAACGUACGAACUGAACACCGUGACAUAUGGAACUUCUGCGGCACCAUUUUUGGCAAUUCGUUGUUUGAAAGAAUUGGCAAAUAAUGAAGGUCGUGCAUUUCCAAUCGCUGCCGAAGUAUUAAAGAAUGAUUUUUAUGUGGAUGACUGCCUCACGGGAGCCGACACUGUAAGCGAAGUACAACAAAUAAAAGAAGGACUAAUUGAGUUGACAACAAAAGCAGGACUUCGUAUUUGCAAGUGGAGGUCAAAUCAUCAAGAAAUUGCUCAAAAUUCAGGGGAUUCAGAAGUAUUAACAAAUGAUGUGGAUCAAAGUUCAAAGACACUUGGAGUGAUGUGGAACUCUCAAAAGGAUACAUUGCAUUUUAACGUGCAACCAACGUUGGAUCAAAAACCCACUACAAAACGAAUCAUGCUUUCACAAAUUGGUAAGAUGCUUUAUGAUCCGCUAGGAUUAAUGGCACCAGUCACAGUUGUGGCAAAAAUAAAAAUGCAAGAACUUUGGAAAACUAAUAAUUCAUGGGACGAUCCAAUACCAACUAAAUUAUUAGUGGAAUUUGAGCAAUUUCAAGGUCAACUUGGUGAAUUGAGCAAUUGGGAAAUCGAGAGAGCGGUUAGAAGUCAACCAUCAGACGAGACUCAAAUCCAUGGCUUUGCAGACGCCAGUCAGAAAGCGUAUGGCGCAUGCGUUUACAUCAGGUGUUCGAAUGAGGGAAAACAUCGUACAAUAUUACUAUGUGCGAAAUCAAAGGUUGCACCAUUGAAGACAGUUACAUUGCCAAGAUUGGAACUUUGUGCGGCAGUAUUAUUGUCAAAGUUAAUAAUCACUGUCAAAAAUGCAAUAAAAUUUAAUGUAAAUGCAAUACACCUUUGGUCGGAUUCAACUAUAGUAUUGAAUUGGAUUGCAUCUUCUCCUCAUGAGUUCAGCACAUUCAUAGCCAACCGUAUUGCCGAAAUUCAAACUCUUACAAGACCUGAAUGUUGGAAACACGUCAUCUCACAGGAUAACCCCGCAGAUUUUGUAUCUAGGGGUCAAAUGCCUGCAGAAUUUGUAUCAAACAAGUUAUGGAAAAAUGGUCCAACGUGGUUGGAAUUGUCGGAAGAAAAUUGGCCCAGUCAUCACUUCAUUCAAACGGAAUUGCCUGAAAGAAAAAAAAGCGUGGCGCUAACUAUAAAGAAUGUAAAAACAUCAAUUAAUUUAUGGUCUCGAUUUUCAUCCCUCAGAAAAUUGAUCCAUGUAGUGGCAUAUUGUUUACGAAUAGCAGAAAGAGCACGCGGUAAAACCAAAUUUUCCGAGAUAUUAACACCAGCAGAGAUUCAGUCAGCAUUUAAUCGAAUUGUUUCACUGGUCCAGAUGGAAGAGUUCUACAAUGAAAUUAAUCAACUGUCAAAGAAUGAAUGUCUAUCAAGCCGGUCAAAAAUACUUCGACUUAAUCCUGUAAUGCACGAAAAAAUUUUAAGAGUGGGGGGAAGAAUAAAGAGAGCAGAAUUGCCCUAUGAUCAACGACACCCUAUGUUGCUGCCAAAAAAUCAUCCUGUUACAGAAUUAAUCAUCCGCGAUAUUCAUGAGCAAAAUAUGCAUGCUGGCAAUAAUGCAACACUGUAUGCAUUGAGAAUGAAAUUUUGGCCAAUCGAUGGUAGGUUGGCAGUGCGCAAGGUCAUAAAUAAAUGCGUAAAAUGUUUUCGAGCUCAGCCUAAAGAAGUAUCUUAUCAAAUGGGAAAUUUGCCUGCAGUGCGCGUGACUGCCACUCGCGUUUUCGAAAAUACAGGUAUGGAUUACUGCGGUCCAUUUUAUAUUAAAGAAAAAAAGUACAGGAAUCGAAAUAAAAUUAAAGUGUACGCGGCCGUAUUUGUGUGUAUGAGCACUAAAGCGAUCCAUAUAGAAUUGGUAAGCGACUUAUCAACAGAAUGUUUUUUAGCAAGUUUACGACGAUUCUUCGCAAGAAGAGGAAAAUCUAAAGCAUUGUAUUCGGAUAAUGGUACUAAUUUUGUAGGCGCUAGAAAUGAGUUGAGUGAUCUUUACCGUCUCCUCAACACAGAUGAACAUAAUAAAAUUAUAUCUCGAAAAUUGGCAGAUCAGAAUAUUGAAUGGUAUUUUUCGCCCCCGCGAACUCCGCAUUUUGGCGGUAUCUGGGAGGCGGCGGUGAAGUCGCUCAAACAUCAUUUACGGCGAACAAUUGGCGAAACAUUGUUGACAUUCGAAGAGCUUGGAACAUAUAUGUGUGAAAUCGAAGCAAUUGUAAAUUCACGACCUCUUACUCCGAUGACUAUGGACCCUAAUGAUGUAAGCGUAUUAACUCCAGGUCAUUUUUUAAUAGGAGAGCCUUUGACAACGAUUCCUGCUUGGGACUAUACUCAAACUCCUGUAAAUCGAUUAUCACGAUGGGAAUGUUUACAAAAAAUGAAACGCGAUUUAUGGAAACGUUGGUCGCGCGAAUAUUUAAAUGAGCUUAAUGUUCGCUCAAAAUGGCAUUCGGGAUCACCAGAAGUGAUAAAAGAGGGAACUUUGGUUAUUUUAAGGGAUGACAAUUUGCCGCCGUUAAGAUGGAGUUUGGGUAGAGUAUCUCAAAUAUAUCCAGGAGAUGAUGGUGUGAUACGUGUGGUAAAGACGAAGUAUAUUUUUGAUAAAAAGUAUGGAUAAACCUGUAGAAUUAAGAGAAAAUGAUAAAAAUAUAAUUAGAGAAGGAAAGGCAGAAAUUCUAGUUGAAGGAAAAAAUGUUUUUUAUAAUCAUGUUCAAGAAUUCAAUCGAGAUUUAAGUAUCGCAGUUUUGUCAUUAUUUGCCGAAGAUUAUAAUUCUGAAUUGAGAACUAAUAAAAAAGUGGGAAAAAAAACUUUAAUAAUCGAGGAUAAGACUUCAUGUGAAGGGGAAACAAAU